rnacentral:rRNA from 1 species
GACGAACGCUGGCGGCGUGCUUAACACAUGCAAGUCGAACGAUGAACCCGGAGCUUGCUCCGGUGGAUUAGUGGCGAACGGGUGAGUAACACGUGAGUAACCUGCCCUUGACUCUGGGAUAACUGCGGGAAACUGUAGCUAAUACCGGAUACGACCCUCGGCGGCAUCGCCAGGGGGUGGAAAGAAUUUCGGUCAAGGAUGGACUCGCGGCCUCUCAGCUAGUUGGUGAGGUAACGGCGCACCAAGGCGACGACGGGGAGCCGGCCUGAGAGGGUGACCGGCCACACUGGGACUGAGACACGGCCCAGACUCCUACGGGAGGCAGCAGUGGGGAAUAUUGCACAAUGGGCGCAAGCCUGAUGCAGCGACGCCGCGUGAGGGAUGACGGCCUUCGGGUUGUAAACCUCUCUCACCAGGGACGAAGCGCGAGCGACGGUACCUGGAGAAGAAGCACCGGCCAACUACGUGCCAGCAGCCGCCGUAA